UGGGGAAUUUUGGACAAUGGGCGCAAGCCUGAUCCAGCAAUGCCGCGUGAGUGAAGAAGGCCUUCGGGUUGUAAAGCUCUUUUGUCAGGGAAGAAACGGUUCGAGUUAAUACCUUGGACUAAUGACGGUACCUGAAGAAUAAGCACCGGCUAACUACGUGCCAGCAGCCGCGGUAAUACGUAGGGUGCAAGCGUUAAUCGGAAUUACUGGGCGUAAAGCGUGCGCAGGCGGUUUUGUAAGACAGAUGUGAAAUGCCCGGGCUUAACCUGGGAACUGCAUUUGUGACUGCAAGGCUAGAAUCUGGCAGAGGGGGGUAGAAUUCCACGUGUAGCAGUGAAAUGCGUAGAUAUGUGGAGGAAUACCGAUGGCGAAGGCAGCCCCCUGGGCUAAGAUUGACGCUCAUGCACGAAAGCGUGGGGAGCAAACAGG
rnacentral:rRNA from 1 species